rnacentral:rRNA from 1 species
CAGUCGCCACGGGAAUACAGAGGGUGCAAGCGUUAAUCGGAUUUACUGGGCGUAAAGCGUGCGUAGGCGGCUUCUUAAGUCGGAUGUGAAAUCCCUGAGCUUAACUUAGGAAUUGCAUUCGAUACUGGGAAGCUAGAGUAUGGGAGAGGAUGGUAGAAUUCCAGGUGUAGCGGUGAAAUGCGUAGAGAUCUGGAGGAAUACCGAUGGCGAAGGCAGCCAUCUGGCCUAAUACUGACGCUGAGGUACGAAAGCAUGGGGAGCAAACAGGAUUAGAUACCCCGGUAGUCCCUGUCUCUUAUAC